AAACCAUGCAUCACGCAUUUGCACAACAAAUCCUUAAAAUGCUCUCAGGCUUCAUAAAGGUUUUCAUCUUCUAUUUGCUUGAAAAAAAGUGAUAUCAUUUCUCAGCCU